rnacentral:lncRNA from 1 species
AGCUAAUUUUUGUAUUGUUAGUAAAGAUGGGAUUUCACCAUAUUGGUCAGGCUGGUCUUGAACUCCUGACCUCAAGUGAUCCACCCACCUCAGCCUCCCAAAGUCACCGGCCAGGAGCUGCUUUUUAUUAAAGGAAAAUUCCACCGAGAACUCUUUUACCCUUUCUAGCUGCCUAAAAGUAAUUUCUCAACUCCUGUGUGAUGUGUGAGAAUUCCAUAAACUACGAAACUAUACAAACAUAAAUAAGGUUUAAUUACAUAUGGCAAACUCUACACAUUUAAGGUGUUAUUUUGGAGCAUCAGUGUAUCAAGCAAGAAAAGGUUCUAAACUUGAACUGUGAUUUCAAGGCAAGGCAAAACAAAUAUUACAUAAGGUAUCAGGUACAAAGCAGUGUCAUGAAAAUGAGCAUAUCUGAACAAAAGCUGUGACAGAAUUAAGGCCAGAUAACCUAUCAUAAAUGUAUAGAAUGAACAGAACAGCCCGGUUUUAGGAAAGGACUUCCCAGGGAGGUUUAGUAAGCCAGCUGGGAGAAAGGAAAAAAAACGUAUUUUUAGGGAGGGAUAGGGACGCUCCCAUUGUGCAAGAAGGAAGUAUAGCCGGUUAACAGCUCCAUCAAGUUCUACUAGAAGGAGUGCCUAUGUAAAUGAAAUUCUGCUUUUAAAGUGCCUAUUAUAUAAAGGUCUCUAGAAAACUCAAGCCCUGUUCUACAAGCCCUAGCAGCCUGACAAUUCACUAAGCAUAGGAGAAGGGAAAAAAAAGUAGGAAAAAAGUGUGGAAGCCCCUUUCUUCCUUUGUAAUAUGAAUGUUUGGCUAUAUUUAAGAUAAAUACCACAUAAAUAAUUGCUAAACGUGAAUUCUGUUUUUCUAAGUUUUAACAAAAUAUGCAAAGAACAAAGACCACCAAUGAAAGUGGAUGGGAACAUACGUAUUCUACACACAGUUCCAUUUUGGAAGGUUCUAGGGCCUAUUGAAAUUGGGUGUUUAAAAAAAAAAGAUAACACAGGAAAAUUAUUGUAGUUUACCUCUGUCUCCUACAAGCUGAUGUAUUUGGCAGGGUUACUAUUUCCCAGGGCAAAGCAGGUCUUUUUUUUCACGUUUUGACUAACGAACUAGAGGCUACUGCAAAGAAAGAAGAAAAAGAACAGUAUUAACGCAUUUAUUUGCACAGCACCCCAAUCUUGACCCUCAAUUUUUUCAAUCGCCCCCACAAAUAAAGCCCGGCUGUUUAGACCUGGUGAACCGCCAGGAGCCUGGAGCUCUUUGUAUUAAGCAGCUUCUCGGUUAGGGCGCCCUCCCCCGGCGCCAUGCAACCAAACGCUGGCGGCGCGCUGUAACCUAAGGCCCACACCCGUCUUUUCUUUUCUAGGGGAUGUGGAGACGCUGGUAGCGGGGCCAGGAAGGCUCCGGACGGAGCAGGUUUUCUGGACCACAGACACACUGCCCCGGCGCCCUCCGCAGGCCGCUCCUCCCCAGGCCCAUGACAGUGCCCCGCUGGUUUCUGCCGCGCUGCCGGACUGGAGCUCAGACGGCCUUCGCCAGCCCCCCCAACCCACGCAGAUCCCUGCUGACCUGGGCAACUCCCCACCCUCGCUGAAGGUUCGAGGACCACCCCGCUUUCCCGAGAGGAGCCGGGCGGCGGGUACUUAUCUCCGACCUCCGGCUAGUGGGAAAGGCCGCGCGACCGCCCGUCCUCCAACUACAGGGACCGCACGAACAGCGACUGGGAAACUGCCACUAGAAAAAGAUGACUGUCCAACUAAAACCUGCAUACACAGCUACAUCCUUCCCUGGAAGAGCACAGUGGAACUAGAUCCUAGUACAGAUAGCACAGGGAUUGUCAACAUUCUUGUCACACUGAAAUUUCCUUCUACUGAUCUCCAAGUAAGUAACUAACAGCUGAAACUUGGAAUUUAUAUAUCAGCACAGCACGAAGACUAUAGAUAUAUCUAGUCUUAUGUAAGUU